CCAAUAGCGUAUAUUAAAGUUGUUGCAGUUAAAAAGCUCGUAGUUGAAUUUCGGGAUCAAUACGUCGGUCGUGCUUCGGUACGUACUGGCGUCAUUGAUUUCUCCCUUCUGGCGAACCAUGAUGUCAUUAACUUGGUGUCAUGGGAAAUCAGGACUGUUACUUUGAAAAAAUUAGAGUGUUUAAAGCAGGCUCACGCUUGAAUACAUUAGCAUGGAAUAAUGAAAUAGGACGCUCGAUCCCAUUUUGUUGGUUUUUAGGAUCAACGUAAUGAUUAAUAGGGAUAGUUGGGGGCAUUAGUAUUCAAUUGUCAGAGGUGAAAUUCUUGGAUUUAUUGAAGACUAACUACUGCGAAAGCAUUUGCCAAGGAUGUUUUCAUUAAUCAAGAACGAAAGUUAGGGGAUCGAAGACGAUCAGAUACCGUCGUAGUCUUAACCAUAAACUAUGCCGACUAGGGAUCGGAUGAUGUUAAUUUUUUAAUGACUCAUUCGGCGCCUUACG
rnacentral:rRNA from 1 species